AAUAACCCUGUAGGCGAAAAGGAAAGAAAAGUAGAUCUACUCCAGAGUACCACGAGACACGUGAAACCUUGUGGGAAGCUGGGAGGACCAUCUCCCAAGGCUAAAUACUACCUAGUGACCGAUAGUGAAGCAGUACCGUGAGGGAAAGGUGAAAAGAACCCCGGAAGGGGAGUGAAAUAGAAUCUGAAACCGUGUGCCUACAAUCGGUCGGAGCACAUUAAAGUGUGACGGCGUACUUUUUGUAGAACGGGCCAGCGAGUUACGAUAUAUAGCAAGGUUAAGCACUUAUGGUGUGGAGCCGAAGGGAAACCGAGUCUGAAUAGGGCAACUAGUUGUAUAUUGUAGACCCGAAACCGGGUGACCUAUCCAUGGCCAGGAUGAAGCGGAAGUAAAAUUCCGUGGAGGUCCGAACCACGUUGGUGUUGAAAAACCAUGGGAUGAGCUGUGGAUAGCGGAGAAAUUCCAAUCGAACUCGGAGAUAGCUGGUUCUCCUCGAAAUAGCUUUAGGGCUAGCGUCGGG
rnacentral:rRNA from 1 species